rnacentral:rRNA from 1 species
GACGAACGCUGGCGGCGUGCUUAACACAUGCAAGUCGAACGGAAAGGCCCUGCUUUCGUGGGGUGCUCGAGUGGCGAACGGGUGAGUAACACGUGAGUAACCUGCCCUUGACGUUGGGAUAACUUCAGGAAACUGGGGCUAAUACCGGAUAGGAGCUCCUGCUGCAUGGUGGGGGUUGGAAAGUUUCGGCGGUUGGGGAUAGACUCCCGGCUUAUCAGCUGGUUGGUGGGGUAGUGGCUAACCAAGGCUUUGACGGGUAGCCGGCCUGAGAGGGUGACCGGCGACAAUGGGCCUGCGAGACGGCCCAGACUGCUACGGUGGGCAGCAGUGGGGAAUAUGGCACAGUGAGCGGAAGCCUGAUGCAGCAGCGCCGCGUGCGGGAUGACGGCCUUCGGGUUGUAAACCGCUUUCGCCUGUGACGAAGCGUGAGUGACGGUAAUAGGUGAAGAAGCACCGGCUAACUACGUG